CACUUUAAAACAGAAAAUAAACUGCGCAUGUGUCGCAUGACAUAGAGGCUAUGCCAGCAGCAUCACACUGAUCAUUUCCCCGCCUGCUUUCGAUGAACAAACACCAGACACUUGGGAUCGCGGAAGUCACCAAACCAUCUUCUGAACGAGGUGUUGGCUUUAAAAUGGAUGCUGCUAAAGAGAGUGGAAAGUCAUCCAUUAGACCAGAGUUGCCAGCCUCAUCCUGCCUGUCUAUGAAAAGUGAUGCCUCCAAAAAUAUCAUUUUAGAGUUCAACAAGGACGCAGCUAAUAGGUAGAGUUUAUUCUGUGUCUUUGGCUGAGGGGAUUGUAAUGUUAGUAUAUGGAUCAUUCUUUGUUAAAAAGAAAAAUGUGUCCACUUCUAAUAUCCUACUACAUUUCCAUGGAUAUUUCUUAACGCUCACUGUUUCACAAGAACAUUGCAUAACAACUAUACUUCUAUCUUUCUUUCUUACCAGACCAAUAAAUGUUGAGAAAUCAAACUUACCAACCUCAUCCUGCCUGUCUUUGAAAAGUGAUGCCUCAAAAAACAUAAUUUAUGAGUUCAACAAGGACGCAGCUAAUAGACCAAUAAAUGUUGAGAUAUCAAACUUGCUAGCCUCAUCCUGCCUGUCUUUGAAAAGUGAUGCCUCCAUAAAUAUCUAUAAUGAUUUCACCAAAGAAGCACC